rnacentral:siRNA from 1 species
UAUUCAGAAAAUGCUCUAUCCACC